rnacentral:rRNA from 1 species
AUGAACGCUGGCGGCGUGCCUAAUACAUGCAAGUCGAGCGAACGGACGAGAAGCUUGCUUCUCUGAUGUUAGCGGCGGACGGGUGAGUAACCCGUGGAUAACCUACCUAUAAGACUGGGAUAACUUCGGGAAACCGGAGCUAAUACCGGAUAAUAUUUUGAACCGCAUGGUUCAAAAGUGAAAGACGGUCUUGCUGUCACUUAUAGAUGGAUCCGCGCUGCAUUAGCUAGUUGGUAAGGUAACGGCUUAUCAAGGCAACGAUGCAUAGCCGACCUGAGAGGGUGAUCGGCCACACUGGAACUGAGACACGGUCCAGACUCCUACGGGAGGCAGCAGUAGGGAAUCUUCCGCAAUGGGCGAAAGCCUGACGGAGCAACGCCGCGUGAGUGAUGAAGGUCUUCGGAUCGUAAAACUCUGUUAUUAGGGAAGAACAUAUGUGUAAGUAACUGUGCACAUCUUGACGGUACCUAAUCAGAAAGCCACGGCUAACUACGUG